CGGAUUAGCUUAGUUGGUGAGGUAAUGGCUCACCAAGGCUACGAUCCGUAACUGGUCUGAGAGGAUGAUCAGUCACACUGGAACUGAGACACGGUCCAGACUCCUACGGGAGGCAGCAGUGGGGAAUAUUGGACAAUGGGCGAAAGCCUGAUCCAGCCAUGCCGCGUGUGUGAAGAAGGUCUUCGGAUUGUAAAGCACUUUAAGUUGGGAGGAAGGGUACUUACCUAAUACGUGAGUAUUUUGACGUUACCGACAGAAUAAGCACCGGCUAACUCUGUGCCAGCAGCCGCGGUAAUACAGAGGGUGCAAGCGUUAAUCGGAAUUACUGGGCGUAAAGCGCGCGUAGGUGGUUUGUUAAGUUGGAUGUGAAAGCCCCGGGCUCAACCUGGGAACUGCAUCCAAAACUGGCAAGCUAGAGUAUGGUAGAGGGUGGUGGAAUUUCCUGUGUAGCGGUGAAAUGCGUAGAUAUAGGAAGGAACACCAGUGCGAAGCGACCACCUGGACUGAUACUGACACUGAGGUCGAAA
rnacentral:rRNA from 1 species